rnacentral:rRNA from 1 species
UUAAAUUGAAGAGUUUGAUCAUGGCUCAGAUUGAACGCUGGCGGCAGGCCUAACACAUGCAAGUCGAGCGGAAACGAGUUAACUGACCCUUCGGGUGACGUUAACGGCGUCGAGCGGCGGACGGGUGAGUAAUGCCUGGGAAUAUGCCUUGAUGUGGGGGAUAACCAUUG